rnacentral:lncRNA from 1 species
GCGAAGGGCUCUACUGAUCACAAUUAUCCACCGAGUGGUGUCUACAUCACUCACAAUAAGCCAUUGGCAUAAGUGGUCAGGUGCUGGUUGGGUCUUCUAGAGAUUGCAGGUUUAACUCACUGCUCGCCGAAAAUGAGUACGGGAGGAAUGGCCGAGGUUUUCCUACUGAGGUUUUUCCCACAGGGUUUCCCCUUAGGUUUUCCCUCGGCCCGUGGCCUUUGGGUCACGGUGAAUACGUUCCUACCCAUUCGACCCGAUGUAACUAGCUGGCUCGAACGUAGGUAUUGGGAAAAGUCGGGCACCGGAUGGGCAUUGCUGUAGAUUGGGGGAUCAUGUAUUCUAGAUAUC